UCGCUGCCUCCACUUCCUCUGCAAGGUUUCAGUCUCAUGAACUUGGGGACUCUGACACCUAUGGGAAGCAACCAUGUCACAAGGAGGCUGCUGAGGAGGGAAGGCUGCCUGCCGCCGCUCCUUUCCUGAGCCAACCAUGUGCCUAGCACUUCUCUGCUGUGUGGCCCUCUGUGUCUGGGGAGCAGGCUCCGUGGACACUGAGGUCACCCAGAGUCCUGGACACCUGGUCAAAGGAAAAGGACAGAAUGCGAAGAUGGGUUGUGUCCCCAUAAAAGGACAUAGUUAUGUUUAUUGGUACCGUCAGAAGCUGGGAGAAGAACUCAAGUUUUUGUUUUACCUACAGAAUGAAGAAAUUAUUGAGAAAACAGACAUGAUCAAUGAGCGAUAUUCACCGAAAUGCCCCAAAAACUCCCAGUGCAGCCUGGAAAUAGAGUCCACCGAGCCAGGGGACGCAGCUCUGUACCUCUGUGCCAGCAGCCAAUACACAGUGCUGAAUGUCAGCUUUUCUAAGAACACAAACUCAUCAUGGACUCAGCUCAGGAAAUGA